UACGUAGGGUGCGAGCGUUAAUCGGAAUUACUGGGCGUAAAGCGUGCGCAGGCGGCUUGCCAAGUCAGAUGUGAAAGCCCCGGGCUCAACCCGGGAACUGCGUUUGAAACUGGCAGGCUAGAGUUUGGCAGAGGGGGGUGGAAUUCCACGUGUAGCAGUGAAAUGCGUAGAGAUGUGGAGGAACACCGAUGGCGAAGGCAGCCCCCUGGGCCAAAACUGACGCUCAGGCACGAAAGCCAGGGGAGCAAACGGG
rnacentral:rRNA from 1 species